GGUACUGCAUUCUCAAGCAUCAAUAAUAACACACACACACACAUAAAAGACAGACAUUGCUGUAUCUAUCCAUCUCAUCUCUGUGUAGAGUGGUGCAGCUUGUGAUGAGAAUCAAUGGUUACUUCCCUCCUUCACUACACUUCCAGAUCCUCUGAAUUUCUUCUGUUCAGGCAAGAGAAGAAAUUAUCAAAUUAAUGGAGUUCAUUUAUUUAUGCAAGUGUGAUUGUGGCAGAUGAAUGUGUGGGUCCCACUUGUUAGACAGCUGAGCAAGAGUGGCCAUUGAUUCUCAUCACAACGUGCUCCACUUUACCAGGCAACUCCAUUGGCUUUUUGCUCACAGUAUUCUUUUAUUGAAGUCAAUCUUAUACUAUACAUAGUGUCAUUAGUGUACAUUAAAUAUGGAUACUUCUCUUAACGUGGUUUAUCAUGUGUGGAACUAAUUUAUUCUACUAGACUCAAUUUUGUGGGUAAUUCCAUCAGUCCGUUGACAUUUUGCCUUUACUGAGAGCCAUAUGUAAUUGUUGCUCAGUGCUCACACCGCUAAGUGAUAAACUUUAAUUUGCAAUGAAGCAAAACUUAUAUCUUUCUUUCAGGAAUCAAAAAGCAUUCCUCAAGCAGUUCUGCUGCUGGACAGCUUAUUGACCAUUUCUUAAUCACUCAAACGCGACAAAGCAGAGCACUAAGAUUUGAAACAGGGGAGCAAGAUUUUGAACUUACCUUGUGGGAACCAGUUUUAAAUAUUUUCUUGAUAUUGUUGUAUAGGUACUAUGUAUUUCCGUUGCCUUCAGAUUUAUAUCAAACUUUAUAUUAUAUGUAUCUUUUAAUCUCAA